UGAACACUUGUCCUAUUAGUUUGCAGCCUCUCUUAUCCCCCAGCAUAAGCACGGGUCCUUUAAAUAUCCUCAUAAGACCCUCUUUAUCUGCUACCUCCACCCAGCUGAUUUUGGGCAUGUAGCAACCCAGAGCAUUGAGCUGUUUUCCAGAUGUUACUAGCAUGCUACCACUUGCUUUGGAUUCUGGGCCUGGGGUGAUACCUCAUGAUGCUGCAACCAGAGGAAGCUGGGGCUGGGGUCAACCUGAAGACUUCUUCAUUAAUGUAGCUGGUGACUUGGCCCAGGAGACUCACAGUGUUGGAACAGGCUCUGAGAUUUAUGUGGAUCUUUAAAGUUCUCUCCAUCAAAUGGAUUUUAUGGAAGUUAAUAUCCUAUUUGAAGAUGUUUCCUCACUUCAAGGUAUAUGGUAUACUUGCAGAAGGUAUAUGUACAUGGGGACACACAAAACACUACAAUUUCCCCUAAAUGGCCCAACCACAGAAUCUUGCCAUUUACGUAUCAAGCUCCAAGCAUUGCUACGGUAGUUUCAGCCUAUUUAAGUUACUUCUCUCUUUAUUCCUCCUUCUAGGAGGUAAAAUAGGCUACUGUUUGCAUAGAUGCUCUGACAAUUUCUGUCAAGGUUUGUAAAUCUUUUCUGCUGUCUUAGUUCCUUAUCAUAAGAGCAUAAGCCUUUUGCUAUGAUAUUUCUUCACCAAAAGGUAUUUCUGCAAUACUUGAUGACAUUAUGAAAAAUCACCUUCAAUUUGUUAGAUCCAAGGCCAUUUGAAUUAGAUAAUUUAAAUCUGUGGAAGCAGAAACUAUAAUACCAAUAGAAAAUUUGUACUCAAUAACUCAUGUAUAAAAUCCUGAAAUGUGUAUUUAUUUUUAUUCUUACUUAUUUCUUCUUUUCCUUUAUUUUUUCCUUUUACUUUUGAUAAUUUUGAUGACAAAAUUAGGGUGUGGUUACUGUAAAAACAUAA